rnacentral:lncRNA from 1 species
AUCCUUGGAGCGAGCUGAGAGCUCGAGGUGAGCUGGGCUCGCGGUCGCCCCUCUCGCGCGCCCUCUUUAAGAACCACGGCGUCCAACCUCCCUGGAAAUGGGGGGAACAUGGCCGAGGCGCGUGGCGAGGCCGCCUCGUGGAGGCCCCGGAGCGGCAUCCUCAGCGCCCCAGCGAUCCGGUGCCCAUUAGAUCUAAAGCUUAAGGACUAUGGAGUGGAUCUCAUUGAAGUUUCAGGCAAUGGAUGUGGGGUAGAAGAAGAAAACUUCGAAGGCUUAACUCUGAAACAUCACACAUCUAAGAUUCAAGAGUUUGCCGACCUACCUCAGGUUGAAACUUUUGGCUUUCGGGGGGAAGCUCUGAGCUCACUUUGUGCACUGAGUGAUGUCACCAUUUCUACCUGCCAUGUAUCGGCGAAGGUUGGGACUCGACUGGUGUUUGAUCACUAUGGGAAAAUCAUCCAGAAAACCCCCUACCCCCACCCCAGAGGGAUGACAGUCAGUGUGAAGCAGUUAUUUUCUACGCUACCUGUGCACCAUAAAGAAUUUCAAAGGAAUAUUAAGAAGUGAGUGAGCGCUCAUGGGAUCUGGUUGUUUAGAAGCAUGCACCACCUCCCGCUUCACUCUCUCUGUCUCUCCUGCUCCACCAUGGCCAGAAACGUGCCUGCUUCCCCUUCGCCUUCUGCCGUGAUUGUCAGUUUCCUGAGGCCUCCCCAGCCAUGCUUCCUGUACAGCCUGCAGAACUGACUCCUAGAAGUACCCCACCCCACCCCUGCUCCUUGGAGGACAACGUGAUCACUGUAUUCAGCUCUGUCAAGAAUGGUCCAGGUUCUUCUAGAUGAUCUGCACAAAUGGCUCCUCUCCUCCUUCCUGAUGUCUGCCAUUAGCACUGGAAUAAAGUUCCUGCUGAAAAU